UUUAGAUAGAUUUAAUAAUACAUUUUAUUUAAAAAAAAAAAGCACCUUUCACAACACCCAAGAUCACUUCACAAAUACAACAUGCAAAUACAAUUCACACACACCUGUAGUUCUCCAAGAGGUUAGUGAGUCAUUCUGACUGUUACGAAACAAGACUCAAAGAGGAAGUAAGCACAGGAGUAAAGUCAAGAAAUGAGGCAUGAAACCCAAAACGUAGAACAAGACUAUGACAUGGAACUCCCAUUUAAC